ACGGAGAGUUUGAUCCUGGCUCAGGAUGAACGCUGGCGGCGUGCUUAACACAUGCAAGUCGAACGAACCUUCGGGUUAGUGGCGGACGGGUGAGUAACGCGUGGGAAUCUGCCCUCAGGAGGGGGAUAACGGUUGGAAACGGCCGCUAAUACCCCAUAUGCCGAGAGGUGAAAUGAAUUUCGCCUGAGGAUGAGCCCGCGUCUGAUUAGCUAGUUGGUGAGGUAAUGGCUCACCAAGGCAUCGAUCAGUAGCUGGUCUGAGAGGAUGAUCAGCCACACUGGGACUGAGACACGGCCCAGACUCCUACGGGAGGCAGCAGUGGGGAAUUUUCCGCAAUGGGCGCAAGCCUGACGGAGCAACGCCGCGUGAGGGAUGAAGGCCUCUGGGCUGUAAACCUCUUUUCUCAAGGAAGAAGAUCUGACGGUACUUGAGGAAUAAGCCACGGCUAAUUCCGUGCCAGCAGCCGCGGUAAUACGGGAGUGGCAAGCGUUAUCCGGAAUUAUUGGGCGUAAAGCGUCCGCAGGCGGCUUUUCAAGUCUGCUGUUAAAGCGUGGAGCUUAACUCCAUCAAGGCAGUGGAAACUGAUUGGCUUGAGUGUGGUAGGGGCAGAGGGAAUUCCCGGUGUAGCGGUGAAAUGCGUAGAUAUCGGGAAGAACACCAGUGGCGAAGGCGCUCUGCUGGGCCAUAACUGACGCUCAUGGACGAAAGCCAGGGGAGCGAAAGGGAUUAGAUACCCCUGUAGUCCUGGCCGUAAACGAUGAACACUAGGUGUCGGGGGAAUCGACCCCCUCGGUGUCGUAGCCAACGCGUUAAGUGUUCCGCCUGGGGAGUACGCACGCAAGUGUGAAACUCAAAGGAAUUGACGGGGGCCCGCACAAGCGGUGGAGUAUGUGGUUUAAUUCGAUGCAACGCGAAGAACCUUACCAGGGUUUGACAUCCUGCGAAUCUCUUGGAAACGAGAGAGUGCCUUUGGGAACGCAGUGACAGGUGGUGCAUGGCUGUCGUCAGCUCGUGUCGUGAGAUGUUGGGUUAAGUCCCGCAACGAGCGCAACCCACGUUUUUAGUUGCCAGCAUUCAGUUGGGCACUCUAGAGAGACCGCCGGUGAUAAACCGGAGGAAGGUGUGGAUGACGUCAAGUCAUCAUGCCCCUUACAUCCUGGGCUACACACGUACUACAAUGCUACGGACAAAGGGCAGCAAGUUCGCGAGGACAAGCAAAUCCCAUAAACCGUGGCUCAGUUCAGAUCGUAGGCUGCAACUCGCCUACGUGAAGAAGGAAUCGCUAGUAAUCGCAGGUCAGCAUACUGCGGUGAAUACGUUCCCGGGCCUUGUACACACCGCCCGUCACACCAUGGAAGUUGGCCACGCCCGAAGUCGUUACUCCAACCCUUGUGGAGGAGGACGCCGAAGGUGGGGCUGAUGACUGGGGUGAAGUCGUAACAAGGUAUCCGUACCGGAAGGUGCGGAUGGAUCACCUCCU
rnacentral:rRNA from 2 species